CUGUAGCUGUGUCUAGCUUCCUGUCAGGCAGCGAAUUUAAAAUCCUAGUCAGAUCAUGUGUAAUGGGAGAGAAAAGGGCGUACAUUUAUCAGACACAACCUAUCACCAGAAUUGUGCAAAAGGACAGAUGAACAACGUGUAAGAAGGAGCAGAGAUUAGACUGGGUAAAACUAAGGCACAAAAAUUGUAAAGUGAUUAGAUGGAGACUAAAUUAUUUAAAUAUUACAGGUAUUAUAAACAUACAACUGUUUAUCUAGGAAUGGUGUCAUUAAAGGUGAUCUGCUGUAAAUAGACCUUCGAGACGCCGGGAAAGAUAUGCACCAUCUCCGCGAUAUCUGUCACAGUACCGACUCACUCCGGAAGAGAAGACGGAUGCGGGGCUGUCUUUGGGAUCAGCUGGGAUUGGACUGUGCCACCUCGUUGCGUGGCGGGGAGUGAGAGCUUCCUACUGAACCAGGCUUAGGCCGAAGUACGGCCAAAAACUCCGGGGAGGGAGGGAUAGGGGUGCAUUUUACGUGACAGAGUUGUGACAGAGCAGGGGCAAUGCUCUGGCGAGCCGAGCUGAGCUCCGAGACGCGGACUCCCCAAAAUGGUGUCCCCCUGUCGAGCCCGAGCAAUGCUACAGCCAAAGGUGGAAAUGUCAGCUCGCCCAGUGGCUACACUGUAACGUCUGAGUAAUACUGCAGUUUAGGGGGUGUCAAUACACAUUACUCGCUUCCUAAAUAAAUCCUUCAGCAGAUUCUGAGUAACACCGUAGUGCCUUCCUUCUGGUGCUGUAUUUUUCAGGCUGGCGGUGUUGCGAUAAUAAUCUCUGGUUUUGUACCAUCCGCACAAAGAAAGCAGUUACAGUGUUUCAGCAAUGUUGAACGUUGUUUUAAUACGAUGCAUCUGUGAGGACAGCUGGUCGAGUUAUUUGUUUCAGUACCACGUAAGCCGUGUGAAGUGAUGAUAUUGACUUAUUCCCUUGUACCGUGUGUCAGCAAUCAGGUUGUUAAUCUGUUUUUCAAUCAUGCUGCGUUUCUUUUACUCUAACUUCUGUCGAGUAAACGCUGCAAAGGUUUCAGCCCCUUUAUUUAUUGCAACAGUUUGGUUCCAAAUAUGCGAUGUUAAUUUUAUUUUCUGGAGCUUACAAUUGUGAUAUAAUUUCCCCACCUGACCACGUUCUAUUUUGAUGCUUUUGUUGUUGCCUUUACCCACGCACCCAAAUAUUUAAUUUAUGUAAAUGCCCCAUGUUAUUUCACUUUGUUUCCCCCCCCACAUUCGCCAAUAAUAUUGAAAUAAUAAAACUGCAUUUUGAAUGA